rnacentral:rRNA from 1 species
CCUACGGGUGGCAGCAGUCGAGAAUCAUUCACAAUGGGGGAAACCCUGAUGGUGCGACGCCGCGUGGGCGAAUGAAUGUCUUCGGAUUGUAAACCCCUGUCAUGUGGGAGCAAAUGACAAAGAUAGUACCACAAGAGGAAGCGACGGCUAACUCUGUGCCAGCAGCAGCGGGAAUACAGCGGGCUCAAGCGUUGUUCGGAUUCACUGGGCGUAAAGCGUGCGUAGGCUGGUGCGUAAGUCGUGUGUGAAAGGCGCGGGCUCAACCCCCGGACGGCACAUGAUACUGCGAGACUAGAGUGAUGGAGGGGCAACCGGAAUUCUCGGUGUAGCAGUGAAAUGCGUAGAUAUCGAGAGGAACACUAGUGGCGAAGGCGGGCUGCUGGACAUUAACUGACGUUGAGGCACGAAGGCCAGGGGAGCGAAAGGGAUUAGAUACCCCUGUAGUC